rnacentral:rRNA from 1 species
AGCUGCGGAGAAUCGGAUGUAACAUUUUCUGUAGAUGUCCGUGGAUAUAUCAUUUGCCUGAUUCCGAGUCCGUAUGAGAAAGUUACGCCUAUUUUAAGAAAUGACAUCCGAAUGACGCCUAGACAUAUCGGAUGCGAUCAUACCAGCACUAAAGCACCGGAUCCCAUCAGAACUCCGAAGUUAAGCGUGUUUGGGCGAGAGUAGUACUAGGAUGGGUGACCUCCUGGGAAGUCCUCGUGUUG